GAUGAACGCUGGCGGCGUGCUUAACACAUGCAAGUCGAACGUGAAAUUUGGAAUGAGCAUUUCGAUGUGAUUUUCGGAUGGAAAGUGGCGGACGGGUGAGUAACACGUGGAUAACCUGCCUCGAAGUGGGGGACAACCAUUAGAAAUGAUGGCUAAUACCGCAUAAUCCUUUGGAUGCUUGAGCAUUCAUAGGUAAAACUCCGGUGCUUCGAGAGGGGUCUGCGUCCGAUUAGUUAGUUGGGGGGGUAACGGCCCACCAAGACGAUGAUCGGUAGCUGGUCUGAGAGGACGAUCAGUCACACGGGAACUGAGACACGGUCCCGACUCCUACGGGGGGCAGCAGUGAGGAAUAUUGCACAAUGGGGGAAACCCUGAUGCAGCAACGCCGCGUGGAGGACGAAGGCUUCGGUUGUAAACUCCUUUUAUGAGGGAAGAGUAAGGACGGUACCUCAUGAAUAAGUCACGGCUAACUACG
rnacentral:rRNA from 1 species